rnacentral:rRNA from 1 species
CUCGGCAACGGAUAUCUCGGCUCUCGCAUCGAUGAACGUAGCGAAAUGCGAUACUUGGUGAAUUGCAGAAUCCCGGAAUCAUCGAGUCUUUGAACGCAAGUUGCGCCGAAGCCAUUCGGCCGAGGGCACGUCUGCCUGGGUGUCACGC